rnacentral:tRNA from 1 species
GGGGGUAAGUUAUAAUACGGUUUAAUACUACACAUCCAUGAUGUGUGAUGCAGGUUCGAGUCCUGUCCCCCCCACCA